UUUCUAACGAGCGUUGUGUCAUGCGCUUCAGCUUCUCCGUGCUUUGUGGGUAAACUGCUCUUGCCACAUCGGCAGCGGCUCCCUCCUCCCCUCUAAACUAAUGGCCAAAUCGCGUGCUCAUACACAGCAAACAUGUCAGCAGCCGUACCCCAAACCGUGCAGCUGGUGCUGUGGAACAAACGGAGGCAACGUCUACCAGUGUUGCCCCGCUCCAGCACAGUGGACAGCAGGGCCAUUGCGUUGCGGCGCUGAAACUGUCGUUAGCCUCCCACCUCCGCUGUCCCUGCCGCCUCCGGGCACUACCACAGUGCCUCUGCUCCUGUCCCAGUCACCUGCCGCAUCACCAUCGCACAGAGGCAGGGUACAGGGUCUCAGUCGGCCCUGAGCGGGAGACCGGCCAACGUCCUCCUCGGGCUCAUCCGGCAUGCGCCUCUAAGCCACCACCCCCUGUUACCCGCACGGCAGACGCCACCGCCUCCGCCCCGAAACAGGGCCCGGGGCCGCGGCCCCGCUUCGGAUCAAGGCACGCAAUCCGGCCCGGUCGGUGUGGCUGCUGACCGCGCAGCACGCAUGCGAGGCAGAGGGACGAGGCAAGGGCAAGAGGAGCCCGUGAGGCGCACGGCCCGGUUCGGGGGCAGGACGGCUCGUCCUCGACGACCAGGACCGAGCCGCGGUGCAACACGCGGGUAGGUGCACCGUGUCGUUGUGUGCGUGUAUAUAUACACACAUACAUGUAUAUGGGUGAUGACGUGUUUGUGCCAUGAGGGCGUUUCUUCUUCCUUUUCGACGCGUCCCUUCUCUGCCGCACAACAUGAGCUGAAUGCCACUCUACACCCCAGGCCCGUCACAGGCCACCCAUCACGUGGCGUGAAGCAGCGGUAGACGCGCGUUACAGCGAUGCGCCGACUCGUCCAUCUGAGCACGGCUCCUGUCCCCCCACCCACCCCACCCCCGCUCCGCAGGCAGCCUCACAGCCGCUCCCGUUGCGCCGAGCGACACACGCUCGAGCCACGCUGACACUCUGCCGAGCAUACCCAUGGUGCAAACAUCUCCACUGUUGCCGGUGGCUCUCACGCAGCGCCAUCCAGGACCUGACCGCCGGCAUCCGUAGCGAUGCAUCACACUGGCCUCCCCGUGUCGCAGGCGCUGGACCCUGUCGGGGCCAGGCGCGGUGGCUCGGCUUCUCCACAGAGGGCGGUUCUGGAUUCCGAUACCACUUUGAGGUCUUUCCCCUCAUCAGGGGUAUAAUG
rnacentral:misc_RNA from 1 species